CCUGUCCUUAGAGACAGGCAUUGCAGAUGUGGCUGCCCUGACACCUGUGUGUCAUUAGGUGACUGAGAGGAGAGAGGAUGCCCAUGUUCCAUGUUCUUAUCUAUGAAUAUCUGAACAAUUAGUAGAGUAACAUU